AUGGGAGAGAAGGAAAUCAGACAGCAAGGUCUGAGUAUCUCACCACAGAAACAAUGCGGAAGAAAAGGUGUUCAGCACCCUUCAUGGAGAAUGGUGGCAGAGGAAGGCAAGGGACUUUUUCUCUGCUGCCAUUUAAAUGCAACUCCAGAGAAAGCCAUAACUGCUACAGUACAAAGCCAAGAGAUGCUGAACUCCAUGGCUCUUCCACGCCUGCCUAGAUGACACAAAUCGUCAAAGCUACUGGAUGAGACCUUCCAUGAACAGUAGGUGUUCUAUUUUUUAAAAAAGCAUAGACAGUUUGGGCAGAGUUGUUAAGAAAGUACCUCAGGUGUGGAUGUGAUUGAAUAUCUUCCCUGUAGGCACAGAUUACUGGAGGAGCAUAUUCACAACGAAGGUCCUCAGUGCUCUCCCAUGUGCUAGACCAGACAAAUCUUUAUACUGAGGAACGAAUCAGGACAAAUUACAACCACUUAGAACUUUAAUCCAAUAGCUUUUGUUGAAUCUAACAUAGCUCUAUGAAAUGACAUCCUUCUCAUCCUUCUUUUUUUUUUUUUUUUUUUUUUUUUUUAAUAUAUGCGCCUCUGUAGCUUGGUAAAGACCACAAGGAGUCUAAAAGACAACGAGAGAGUUUCUUACCACACAUAUAAAUAUCCCACCUGGAAAUACUUAACUCCAAAAACAUUCACUGUGCAGCUACUACGUAACAAAGCUUUAUGAUGAAGCCUAUAAUUCCCAUCUAUCUACUUACAUAUGAGUAUAUAACUACCAUGGUUGCACUGGGGGCCUCCCACAGCAACUGGGCAAAUUUUGUUCAUUGUCAGUAGCAGACUGUUUCUGCUGUUGUUUGUUUGUUUAUUUAUAUUUUUAUAUUUUUAUAUUUUUAUAUUAUUAUUAUUAUUAUUAUUAUUAUUAUUAUUAUUAUUAUUAUUAUUUUCUGAAUGACACCUGUAAAACUUGCCCAUGAAUAUUAGCUACUGGUGGAGCAGUAAACAGUAGUUGAAACUGCUGUGGCUAUUUCAGGUACAAUGGACAGUGAACAACUCCUGAUACAAAAACAGUAAAUCCUCAGAUCAGUUUAGAAAUCCAUAUUCUCCUUUUCCAAGUACUCAUUUCAUUCUAACGGUUUGGUGUUUUUCUGCUUUCA
rnacentral:lncRNA from 1 species